UACGGAGGGGGCAAGCGUUGUUCGGAAUACUGGGCGUAAAGCGCGCGUAGGCGGACUGGUCAGUUGGGGGUGAAAUCCCGAGGCUUAACCUCGGAACUGCCUUCAAUACUGCCAGUCUUGAGAUCGGAAGAGGUGAGUGGAAUUCCUAGUGUAGAGGUGAAAUUCGUAGAUAUUAGGAAGAACACCAGUGCGAAGGCGGCUCACUGGUCCGAUACUGACGCUGAGGUGCGAAAGCGUGGGGAGCGAACAGGAUUAGAUACCGGGUAGUCC
rnacentral:rRNA from 1 species